AGAUUUGUAGUCAUCCAAAAAUUUCUCAAUCUUGGACUGAUAUUCUCUUUCUAUUCUGUUGAAUCUAUGUCUGCGGUAGAAUAGAAUGGCUGCUACUACAAGAAAAAUUGAACCCAGGACUGUCCCUGUAUGUAUAAUACAUUCUUAGUCAAGAAAACCCAUCUUCCAGACAACCAUAAAACCGCAUGUAAAAUUGGAAAUACAAAGACGGCUAACCUGUUGCUAUGAACUUUUUUGCGGACCCUAUAGUUGGUUUGAUUAUGCCGUAGCAUUCUGUUUCAGAUCCAGUGGCAUUGCUCUUCAAUCUGCAAUACUUGCCUUUUGCUUCACAAUAACUACAUUCUGGAUAGUACCAUUUCAAACGAAGAACACUUUCCAGAGAAUGGAGAUUAUAUUCUGCUACUAUUGAAAUGUUAUGUAGCUUGGAGCAAGACAGCAACGGGACCAAGUCUUGAAAAGAAGCAUGAGAAGAAAUGGCGUAGACAUGAUAGCGAAGGUCACUUAGGCAAAAGACUGGCCGGAGAGAAUAAUGUUCUUUUUGUGAAGAGCAAUUAAAUAAGUUAUAACUAUAGUAAAGUUCAUCCCUAAAAAAGAAGGGAGAAAUAUCAGAGAGAUUGGAGUUAAAAAGAAGCCGUCUUGGAAGGCAAAAUCCAUCUAAAUAACUUGCAUAAAUCACUUGAAAGUUGUAAUCAAUUGCUUGCACCAAGAGCUUCCAUGAAUUCGGCAGCUCCAGAACAGUAUGGUUAUUCUCCGAGCAAGAUAAAUCAAACCCAGCUGCAGGAUAGCUACAGUGGAGUGGUUGCCUGCCUUUGAUUCGGAACGGAAAUCGGACAGGUGGGCCUUGUAUCCCACACGAUGAUGUACUGCACUGAUCAUUAAGGCCUCCACCAUGGUUAAGGAAUAAAAUGGACAAGAGAAACAAGCACGCUACCAUUGGUAUCUAUAUUCUUCUCUCUUUCUACAAUCUACACUGCAAAUGGAUAAAGGUUUUGUUAUACAUAAUCCAGAUGGACUCUUUAACAUAGAAGGCUUUGGAUAAUAGAUAUAGCUCUUAAAAUAAAUUUAUUCUUCUCCGACGAAAUGGAUUGUUGUCUUUGAACCGGUGUAAACCAAAU
rnacentral:misc_RNA from 1 species